rnacentral:rRNA from 1 species
AGUACGCUAAUACCGCAUAACGCAUAGGUGUCGCAUGGCAUUUUAUGCCAAAGGAGCAAUCCGCUGAAAGAUGGGCUCGCGUCCGAUUAGAUAGUUGGUGGGGUAACGGCCUACCAAGUCGACGAUCGGUAGCGGACUGAGAGGUUUGAACGGCCACAUUGGGACUGAGACACGGCCCAGACUCCUACGGGAGGCAGCAGUGGGGAUAUUGCACAAUGGGCGCAAGCCUGAUGCAGCAACGCCGCGUGAGGGAUGACGGUUUUCGGAUUGUAAACCUCUGUCUUUGGUGACGAAUAAAUGACGGUAGCCGAGGAGGAAGCCACGGCUAACUACGUGCC